GACGAACGCUGGCGGCGUGCCUAACACAUGCAAGUCGAACGAAAAGUCCCUGCUUUUGUGCGCUGCUCGAGUGGCGAACGGGUGAGUAACACGUGAGUAACCUCUCCUUCACUGUGGGAGAUCUUCAUGAAACUGAGGCUAAUACCGCAUAGGAGCUCUUGCUUCAUGGUGGGCGUUGGAUAGUUUCGGUGGUUGGGGAUGGACUCGCGCCUCAUCAGCUUGGUGCUGAGGUAGUGGCUUACCAAGGCUUUGACGGGUAGCCGGCUUGAGAGGGGUAGCGGCCACGUCGCGACUGAGAUACGGCACAGACUAGAAUCGGACGCAGGAGUGGAGAGUAUUACAUAAUGGGAGGAAGCAUGAUGUAGCAAAGCCGCGUGCGGGAUGACGUGAUGCGGGUUGUGAACCACUUUCGCCUGUGCCGAAGCGUGAGUGACGGUAACGGGUAAAGAAGCACCGGCUAACUACGUG
rnacentral:rRNA from 1 species